GAUGAACGCUGGCGGCGUGCCUAAUACAUGCAAGUCGAGCGAACAGACGAGGAGCUUGCUCCUCUGACGUUAGCGGCGGACGGGUGAGUAACACGUGGAUAACCUACCUAUAAGACUGGGAUAACUUCGGGAAACCGGAGCUAAUACCGGAUAAUAUAUUGAACCGCAUGGUUCAAUAGUGAAAGACGGUUUUGCUGUCCCUUAUAGAUGGCUCCGCUCCGCAUUAGCUAGUUGGUAAGGUAACGGCUUACCAAGGCAACGAUGCGUAGCCGCCCGGAGAGGGGGAUCGGCCACACUGGAACUGAGACACGGUCCAGACUCCUACGGGAGGCAGCAGUAGGGAAUCUUCGGCAAUGGGCGAAAGCCUGACGGAGCAACGCCGCGUGAGUGAUGAAGGUCUUCGGAUCGUAAAACUCUGUUAUUAGGGAAGAACAAAUGUGUAAGUAACUAUGCACGUCGUGACGGUACCUAAUCAGAAAGCCACGGCUAACUACGUG
rnacentral:rRNA from 1 species